GGACGAACGCUGGCGGCGUGCCUAACACAUGCAAGUCGAGCGAGGAGAUUCCUCGGGAUGAUCCUAGCGGCGGACGGGUGAGUAACACGUGGGCAACCUGCCUCAUAGAGAGGAAUAGCCUUCCGAAAGGGAGAUUAAUACCUCAUAACAUUGCAGUUUCGCAUGGAACAGCAAUUAAAGGAGCAGUCCGCUAUGAGAUGGGCCCCGCGGCGCAUUAGCUAGUUGGUGAGGUAACGGCUCACCAAGGCGACGAUGCGUAGCCGACCUGGGAGGGUGAUCGGCCACAUUGGGACUGAGACACGGCCCAGACUCCUACGGGAGGCAGCAGUGGGGAAUAUUGCACAAUGGGGGAAACCCUGAUGCAGCCAACGCCGCGUGAGUGAUGACGGCCUUCGGGUUGUAAAGCUCUGUCUUCAGGGACGAUAAUGACGGUACCUGAGGAGGAAGCCACGGCUAACUACGUGCCAGCAGCAGC
rnacentral:rRNA from 1 species